GGGAAACCUGGUGUGCUGCAGUCCAUGGGGUUGUAAAGAGUCAGAUAUGACUGAGCGACUUAACAACAACGGAUAGCACACGCUGUCAGCUUUGUGAGCCGUGCACUGCCACACGAUGACUGGCCUCUGCCUCCUCAACAGGACGGCAGCCAGGGAAGGCAGGAGCAGGACUCAGUGUGGAGGGGAGACUCCAGUUACCUGAUGUUUUCAGAGCCCCAAGCUUCAGGAUAGGAGCCCGAGCAGCUGCCAUGAGGGGCGCAGUGUCUGGCGUGCAGUUUCCAGGGUACACUGUCCAGAGUGCAGUGCCCUCGGUGCUGGGCAUAGGGGCUCAGGGGCACUGGUGAAACCGCACUGGGCCACAGGCCAGGCUGGGUCGGCAGUGUGGGGCGGCCACCUCCUGUCUCUUCUGUCCUCGUGCUGUUUUGCUGCCUUCACAGCCCAGGGAGGGCACGUGCAUGUUAAGUCACUUCAGUCACGUCCCACUCUUCGUGACCGCAUGGACUGUAGCCAGGCUUCUCUGUCCAUGGGAUUUUCCAGGUAAGAAGACUGGAGUGGGUUGCCAUGCCCUCCUCCCAGGGAUCUUUCCAACCCAGGUAUCUCUUACGUCUCCUGCAUUGGCAAGAGGCUUCUUUACCAAUAGCACCACCUGGGAGCGGGGCCCAUGCUGAACUGGUGUGGCUUGUCCGCAGCAAAAGGAGCCCGUCACAAAGAGC
ensembl:lncRNA